GAGAAGAACGGGAUUCUGGAAAUGCAAGGGAAAUUAGAGAUUGACACUGAUCAUUUUCCCGAGCAGGUGGAAUCUUUGAAAGACGAAAUGAAAGAAGUU